rnacentral:rRNA from 1 species
GACAGAGGGUGCAAACGUUGCUCGGAAUUACUGGGCGUAAAGCGCGUGUAGGCGGUUCCGCAAGUCAGGUGUGAAAGCCCAGGGCUCAACCCUGGAAGUGCACAUGAUACUACGGAGCUUGAGUACUGAAGAGGAGAGCGGAAUUCCCGGUGUAGAGGUGAAAUUCGUAGAUAUCAAGUGGAACACCAGUGGCGAAGGCGAGUCUCUGGACAUUUCCUGACGCUGAGGCACGAAAGCCAGGGGAGCAAACGGG